rfam:Nomascus leucogenys chromosome 7b, whole genome shotgun sequence.
UUUUUAGUAUAACUAUGUCCCAUGCAAUAUUUGGAAUAUACUUAUACCGUAAAA